UACGUAGGGACCAAGCGUUGUUCGGAUUUACUGGGCGUAAAGGGCGCGUAGGCGGCGUGGUAAGUCACUUGUGAAAUCUCUGAGCUUAACUCAGAACGGCCAAGUGAUACUGCUGUGCUCGAGUGUGGAAGGGGCAAUCGGAAUUCUUGGUGUAGCGGUGAAAUGCGUAGAUAUCAAGAGGAACACCUGAGGUGAAGACGGGUUGCUGGGCCAACACUGACGCUGAGGCGCGAAAGCGUGGGGAGCAAACAGG
rnacentral:rRNA from 1 species